UGAAUUUAUCUCAUAGCAAAAGCAUAGAAACGAUAGCUAAAGCAUUCUCAAUUUUAAACAGACAAUGUGUUAAAAUUUUUGGUAUAAUUAUUUUUGGAUCAAACUACCCAAAGGAUUUUCUAAAGAGUAAUGGAGAAGAUUGUAGAGACCACCGUAACUGCUGGUGACCUCAAACAGGACACGACCCUAGAGCAGGAGCUCGAGGGUGCACUGUCCUCGAGCAGUGUUGAUGAUACGCCGCCGGUCAUGAUCAUUGUGGGGAGCCGCAUCAGUGCCAGGCAGGAGCUUAUGGAACCAAGCGUUGCGGACAAGGAUACAAAAAUCGAGGGCGAAAAUGCAUUCGGAAAAGAUUUUCAAAAGGAUGUUGAGCUGCCACGGGAGCCGGUAACUGCCUGCUCCAUGUCGCUGGGCUUCAAGCCACGUGUCCAGUUCCAGCGGGUGCCACAUGAGAGCGUUGGCCGUCUCUUGGCCAGCACCGAGGCUGCCCUGGCAGCCGCCACUAGCUCGGCCUACGCCACACCCAUGUCCACGAUUGCGGAACCGUUUGCCACAUUGCGUCACGUCGUCGACGAGGCCACACAGUGCAACAACCUCGGCAACGAAGUGUCUGCCUCCAGUGAGUCAAUGUCCUCGCUGGGCUCGCUCGUCUGUCGUAUUUGUCAUAACGCCGAUAAUCCCGAACAACUGGUGUCGCCCUGUUUGUGCAAGGGCUCCCUGACAUAUGUCCAUGUGCAAUGCCUGGAGCGCUGGAUUAGCACCUCGCACUGCACGUUAUGUGAACUCUGCCAGUUCCAGUACAACACGGAGCAGACGCUGCGGUACUCCUGUCUGCAGUCGCUGCGAAUUUGGAAUUCGCGGGCCAUGAGCGGCCGGGCCCUGCAGGAGGACUGCCAGAUGUUCUCGCUGCUCACUUUGGUGGCCUUUGGGAUCAUCGGCACCCUGCUGGUAGGCAUCCAGUACUAUGCCAUGAACAACCAGUCCUUGGCUAUGAGCAAGCUCUGGACAAAGUCCUGGAUGCUCUUCUUUCUGUUCAUGACGGUUACCGUUUACUUUGCCAAUAUUUUUAUGAUCUUCAAGUCCCAAGUGACGCCUUGGUAUCGCUGGUGGCAGUCAGCCAGAGACAUCAAGCUGAUUCUGGAGAACCGGCGACCCUUUCCGAAUCCGAGUCGCCUGCGACACCUGGCGAUAGACGCCGGCUCGCUCUCCGCCUCCAUGAUCACUCAUCACGAUCAGCUAGAGCUGGCGCCGCCCACGGCAGUGACCCCUGUGCCAACAACCUCCAGCGAGGAGGGGAUUGAGAGCAGUCCCGGCCGUCAGUGGGGCAAGCGUAUGGAGAGCGCUAUGCUGGCGGCCGCCAUUGCAGCCACAGUGGAAUCGAUUGCCGACGCCAGUGCCCGGGAGAGCGAGAGCAAGGCCGAGCAGCAGCACAGCCAAGAGCAUCAUCAUCCUGGGCAGCCAUCGGAAGGCGCCGGCAACUAAAAGGGCAAUGACAAGAGCCAUGGAGAUAGACGGACACUGAAAAGGAGCAAGUGGCAAGGCGGUACUUCAAUUAAGUCUGGAGCUGAUGAUGCUGCUGUUCUAGUUCCUCUUCCGGUUUCUGUUCGUGGCUGUAAGGUGCUUGGUACGUGGUGCGUGUCGGUGCCUGCACUUUGCCUUUGCCGGCUUCCUUCGAGCCGCACAACUUCCGCUUCCUGUCUCACCUCUUCCUCCACCAGCCCCCCAAAGCGAGGAAAUUAAAGCUGAUACCAGCACGAGGCAUGAGGCAGUAGAGGCUGCCACAAA